rnacentral:rRNA from 1 species
AGUGAUCGCUGGCGGCGUGCUUAACACAUGCAAGUCGAACGAGAACGGAAUAAAGCUUGCUAUAUUUGUCAGCUAAGUGGCGCACGGGUGAGUAAUGUAUAGAUAACCUGCCCUUAAGAAAGGAAUAACAGUUGGAAACGACUGCUAAUGCCCUAUAUGCCUUUAAUACAUAAGUAUGCAAGGGAAACGCUUUAGUGCUUAAGGAUGGGUCUGUAUGGUAUCAGCUUGUUGGUGAGGUAAUGGCUCACCAAGGCUAUGACGCCUAACUGGUUUGAGAGGAUGAUCAGUCACACUGGAACUGAGACACGGUCCAGACUCCUACGGGAGGCAGCAGUGGGGAAUAUUGCACAAUGGACGAAAGUCUGAUGCAGCAACGCCGCGUGGAGGAUGACACAUUUCGGUGCGUAAACUCCUUUUAUAUAGGAAGAUAAUGACGGUACUAUAUGAAUAAGCACCGGCUAACUCCGUGCCAGCAGCCGCCGUAAGAC